GGAGAAGUAGCGAAGUGGCUAAACGUGGCUGACUGUAACUCAGUUCCUUUUGGUUCGGCAGUUCGAAUCUGUCCUUCUCCACCA
rnacentral:tRNA from 1 species